rnacentral:pre_miRNA from 1 species
UAUGGUUUGAGAGAGCUUGCUUCAGUCCACUCAUAGACAGGUGAAAAGGGUUUUUGAAUUUGCUGCCGACUCAUUCAUUCAAACACGUUAGAGAGGAAUUUACGCACUCCGCGCGCUCGCUACCGUGAAUGUGUGAAUGAUGCGGGAGUAAAUUUUUAUCCUAUUCUUUUCUGUGCUUGGACUGAAGGGAGCUCCCUCCUCUAAUUAA